AACGAACGCUGGCGGCAGGCCUAACACAUGCAAGUCGAGGGAGGACUUCGGUUCUAGCGGCGGACGGGGGAGUAACGCGUGGGAAUGUGCCCUUCUCUACGGAAUAGCCCUGGGAAACUGGGAGUAAUACCGUAUACGCCCUAUUGGGGAAAGAUUUAUCGGAGAAGGAUCAGCCCGCGUUGGAUUAGGUAGUUGGUGGGGUAAUGGCCUACCAAGCCGACGAUCCAUAGCUGGUUUGAGAGGAUGAUCAGCCACACUGGGACUGAGACACGGCCCAGACUCCUACGGUAGGCAGCAGUGGGGAAUCUUAGACAAUGGGGGCAACCCUGAUCUAGCCAUGCCGCGUGAGUGAUGCAGGCCUUAGGGUUGUAAAGCUCUUUCAGCUGGGAAGAUAAUGCCGGUACCAGCAGAAGAAGCCCCGGCUAACUCCGUG
rnacentral:rRNA from 1 species